UACGUAGGGGGCAAGCGUUGUCCGGAUUUAUUGGGCGUAAAGAGCGUGUAGGCGGCCAGGUAGGUGGGUUGUGAAAACUGGAGGCUCAACCUUCAGACGUCGACCCAAACCCCCUGGCUAGAGUCCGGAAGAGGAGAGUGGAAUUCCUGGUGUAGCGGUGAAAUGCGCAGAUAUCAGGAAGAACACCCGUGGCGAAGGCGGCUCUCUGGGACGGGACUGACGCUGAGACGCGAAAGCGUGGGGAGCGAACAGG
rnacentral:rRNA from 1 species